AGGAAUUAUAAUGCGUAAAAAAUGACUACUCACGCGACAUUUUAAUCUUAUGUAUCAAAUAUCAUAUUGUCAAAAGUACGACUUCAGUCCUUAUUUUAAAGCUGAACCGUACUUUUGACAUGACAGUUGUCCCAUAGAGUUAACAAGUCGCGUUAGGAAUAUUU